CCAAUGACUUAUGUGUAACGUUAAUAUAAAUGAGUAACGUUAUUGAUCAAAGGCCUGCUAGUUACAUUACCGACAUCAACAAUUAGUCAUGUUCUAAACCACCUGCCCGUCGACAAUCUUUAUGGAGACGAAUCAAAUUGCUAAUGUUGAUAAUUGGAUAUGGAGAAGGGCGAGCCGGUCAAGGAUCGAUUCAGACAAGUCUGCACACUCCUCCAACAGUAGGAGCACUUGCAUAGAACUGGGCACCUUUCUUCAGCUCCUGUACAAGCUACCUACCACAACCCAUAUAGUCUAUGACCAAGAUCAUCUUCUGAAGCCAACCCAUGUUGUGAUUCAUCUUCAGCGCGCUGUCCUAUGUGGCUGACAGCAUUGCUUCCUGCUGCUGCCCCUCAGGAAAGAUCAAAUCAGCUACAGGAUGACAAUACCAGCUCAGGGGGGAGGAUGUGUGGACAGUCUUCAACGAGGCACCAUCCAGUGAAAACCCUCCAGCCAAUAAGAUUCUCUCUUAGAUGGCUAUUUUAGAGA